AAAGUCUUCAUGUGACAGGAUGGCCCAGAGGCCUAUAGAGGUGCUGUGACUUAUCCAGGUCAUCCUCUGAGUAGGACAGCCGAGGUCUGCACUGGGUACUUCAUCGUCUGGGCUGGCUCUAUCAAUCUGCCUCACAACCGUGAUGGAGGGGAAGCCCAGAAAAGUCACUUUGUCCUGUGCUCGCUAGUGAUUCCUAGAAACGCAUCAGCUUCCCCUGAGUCUCAUAGGUGAAGCGUGAUGUCUGCAACGCCCCCGCAGGGCACAGAUGUUCUGAGUGACAUCGGAAGUGAAUGCGCUGCUCUGCUGGGCUGUGGAAAGCUGCUCAUUUAGUUCUCCAUCCAGAUUCACCUCUGGAACUCCCAACCACACCCCACCAUUGGAAUGGAUGCCAACGGAGAGUGGGACCAGAAACACUGUCUUUCACCUUGAGUCCUAGGGUGCCAGCAAUGGGACUACCCAAGUCCCGUGCAGAGAAAUGACCAGACUCUGAGGACUGGCUGGCGGUCUGUCUCUAUGGUGUGAAACUCAGCAUGAGCCAGAGGGAAGAUCAUGGUGGGGACUGUGGUGUGGUGGCAAAUGUGUCCUUCCCAGGCUGAGUCAGUAAGAAAGCCAACGUGAAGCUCUGCCGUCACCGGACCACAAGACCUCCCGGGAGAUCCGCUCUCAUUUCUCUCCUUAAACCUCACUAACAUCUCCUCGAAGAGAAGAAGCUGGCUGCCACCCAUGGCAGGAGGCAAGAGCAUCUGAAGCUGACUCCAAGUACCCACCAAGGUUCCUUCCACAUCCCAGGAUGGGAGGGGCUGGGGAGUUAGGACAUCAAGCCCUGGCAGCACUCAGUCUUCUGCAGUUCGCAUCUGGCAGGGAUCUCACCAUCCUCUACCCAGCAUCACAAGGACGGAGAGAGCUCAGGGUCCUGGGGACUGGGAAUCAUUCUUGGGUUUGUUUGAAAUGUUUUCUAAACAAACAGUCUGGUCACUCCUAGUUUUCAUGUACAUCUCAACUCCGCUUCAACUUAAACUUUAUUUGUAUAAAACCCA